rnacentral:tRNA from 1 species
GCUGAUGUAGCUCAAUUGGUAGAGCAACUGACUUGUAAUCAGUAGGUUGCGGGUUCAAGUCCCACCAUCAGCUCCA